rnacentral:rRNA from 1 species
GGAGGGUAAAACGGCCACAUUGGGACUGAGACACGGCCCAAAACUCCUACGGGAGGCAGCAG